AUUAUUUUAGCGCCAGAACCUAAGGGUUGACGAGGUUGAUAGUUAUCGAAAAUUCGGCGGAUGCUAUCACGGCUUAAAGUCGUUAAGUGUAUGACAAACCAUAAAAUCAAGAUUAUGACAAAACAU
rnacentral:ncRNA from 1 species